rnacentral:misc_RNA from 1 species
UAAUAAGUGUUUUAUGGCACUUUUUAAAUCCAUAUCCACCUUGUGUGCAAUGUCGGUCGAUCUUCUUCAUGGAGAUCGACCAAACAUCAACCUUUAUCUUUUAACUCUUUGUCUGAAAAAUAUUACGAAUAAACAAUUCAAAAUA